rnacentral:rRNA from 1 species
AGAGUUUGAUCAUGGCCCAGAUUGAACGCUGGCGGCAUGCCUAACACAUGCAAGUCGAACGGAAACGAUGCUAGCUUGCUAGCAGGCGUCGAGUGGCGGACGGGUGAGUAAUGUAUAGGAACUUGCCCAGUAGUGGGGGACAACUUAUGGAAACGUAAGCUAAUACCGCAUAAUCUCUACGGAGGAAAGCAGGGGCUCUUUGGACCUUGUGCUACUGGAUAGGCCUAUAUCGGAUUAGCUAGUUGGUGAGGUAAAGGCUCACCAAGGCGACGAUCCGUAGCUGGUUUGAGAGAAUGAUCAGCCACACUGGGACUGAGACACGGCCCAGACUCCUACGGGAGGCAGCAGUGGGGAAUAUUGCACAAUGGAGGCAACUCUGAUGCAGCAAUGCCGCGUGUGUGAAGAAGGCCUUAGGGUUGUAAAGCACUUUCAAUAGGGAGGAAAAGCGAGUAGUUAAUACCUGCUCGCCGUGACGUUACCUAUAGAAGAAGGACCGGCUAACUCCGUGCCAGCAGCCGCGGUAAUACGGAGGGUCCGAGCGUUAAUCGGAAUUACUGGGCGUAAAGCGCGCGUAGGCGGAUAUUUAAGUCAGAUGUGAAAUCCCUGGGCUCAACCUAGGAACUGCAUUUGAAACUGAAUAUCUAGAGUAUGGUAGAGGUGAGUGGAAUUUCAGGUGUAGCGGUGAAAUGCGUAGAGAUCUGAAGGAACAUCAGUGGCGAAGGCGACUCACUGGGCCAUUACUGACGCUGAGGUGCGAAAGCGU